rnacentral:rRNA from 1 species
GUGCCAGCAGCCGCGGUAAGACGAACCUUGCUAACGUUAUUCGGAAUUACUGGGCUUAAAGGGUGCGUAGGCGGUGCAGCAAGUCGGGUGUGAAAUCCCUCAGCUCAACUGAGGAAUGGCGCCCGAAACUGCUGUGCUCGAGGAAGAUAGAGGUACGCGGAACUUAGGGUGGAGCGGUGAAAUGCGUUGAUAUCCUAAGGAACACCGGUGGCGAAAGCGGCGUACUGGGUCUUUUCUGACGCUGAGGCACGAAAGCUAGGGUAGCGAACGGGAUUAGAUACCCCCGUAGUCC